AUUGAACGCUGGCGGCAGGCCUAACACAUGCAAGUCGAGCGAGCGGCGGACGGGUGAGUAAUGUCUGGGAACCUGCCUGAUGGAGGGGGAUAACUACUGGAAACGGUAGCUAAUACCGCAUACCAUCAGAUGUGCCCAUAUGGGAUUCGCUAGUAGGUGGGGUAAUGGCUCACCUAGGCGACGAUCCCUAGCUGGUCUGAGAGGAUGACCAGCCACACUGGAACUGAGACACGGCCCAGACGCCUACGGGAGGCAGCAGUGGGGAAUAUUGCACAAGGGGCGAAAGCCUGACGCAGCAAUGCCGCGUGGUGGAAGAAGGUCUUCGGGUUGUAAAGUACUUUCAGUGAGGAGGCGUUACCUACAGAAGAAGCAACGGCUAACUCCGUGCCAGCAGCCGCGGUAAUAC
rnacentral:rRNA from 1 species